rnacentral:lncRNA from 1 species
CCCAGCAUCAGAUGGUUCCAUGCCAACCUCCUCCAUGGCUAGGUGUUGGAGCGCCCCAGCUGCUGCCUCCCUGGUAGCUUUCAUUAAAGGACUUUGCUUUUUUGGUAAAUAAGGGCCCCAUUUUUCUACCUUAGUCUUUGAAAAUCAACCUGAGAAACACUUUGUGUGUCUACAUCUCUUAGGAAGAAGAGAAUAAUGAGAUGAUGUAUGCAGAGCACUGGCAGAAAGCCUAGCAUAGAGGAAUCUGAGGAUUCGCCAUGCAUGCUUCCUGGUAUAUAGUACUAGUUCUUGUCAAUGGCACAGAGACUUGAAGACUGUAUAUAAAUGGACACACCUACUAGAAUGAAUGGAAACCCACACUGCUGUUGUGAAGACACCUGAUGAAACUCCAGCAACUUCUACAUCUGGCCUGCUGCUUAGUCCUGGGACCUGAGGUCAAAAUCUUAGAAAAGAGCCAU